rnacentral:rRNA from 1 species
UUUUAUGGAGAGUUUGAUCCUGGCUCAGGAUGAACGCUGGCGGCGUGCCUAAUACAUGCAAGUCGAGCGAACGGACGAGAAGCUUGCUUCUCUGAUGUUAGCGGCGGACGGGUGAGUAACACGUGGAUAACCUACCUAUAAGACUGGGAUAACUUCGGGAAACCGGAGCUAAUACCGGAUAAUAUUUUGAACCGCAUGGUUCAAAAGUGAAAGACGGUCUUGCUGUCACUUAUAGAUGGAUCCGCGCUGCAUUAGCUAGUUGGUAAGGUAACGGCUUACCAAGGCAACGAUGCAUAGCCGACCUGAGAGGGUGAUCGGCCACACUGGAACUGAGACACGGUCCAGACUCCUACGGGAGGCAGCAGUAGGGAAUCUUCCGCAAUGGGCGAAAGCCUGACGGAGCAACGCCGCGUGAGUGAUGAAGGUCUUCGGAUCGUAAAACUCUGUUAUUAGGGAAGAACAUAUGUGUAAGUAACUGUGCACANCAAGGUAGCCGUAUCGGAAGGUGCGGCUGGAUCACCUCCUUUCUAAGGAUAUAUUCGGAACAUCUUCUUCAGAAGAUGCGGAAUAACGUGACAUAUUGUAUUCAGUUUUGAAUGUUUAUUUAACAUUCAAAUAUUUUUUGGUUAAAGNCCCUUAAGCUUAGUUGCCAUCAUUAAGUUGGGCACUCUAAGUUGACUGCCGGUGACAAACCGGAGGAAGGUGGGGAUGACGUCAAAUCAUCAUGCCCCUUAUGAUUUGGGCUACACACGUGCUACAAUGGACAAUACAAAGGGCAGCGAAACCGCGAGGUCAAGCAAAUCCCAUAAAGUUGUUCUCAGUUCGGAUUGUAGUCUGCAACUCGACUACAUGAAGCUGGAAUCGCUAGUAAUCGUAGAUCAGCAUGCUACGGUGAAUACGUUCCCGGGUCUUGUACACACCGCCCGUCACACCACGAGAGUUUGUAACACCCGAAGCCGGUGGAGUAACCUUUUAGGAGCUAGCCGUCGAAGGUGGGACAAAUGAUUGGGGUGAAGUCGUAACAAGGUAGCCGUAUCGGAAGGUGCGGCUGGAUCACCUCCUUUCUAAGGA